rnacentral:rRNA from 2 species
UUAAGUUAUUAAGGGCGCACGGUGGAUGCCUUGGCACUAGAAGCCAAUGAAGGACGUUACUAACGACGAUAUGCUUUGGGGAGCUGUAAGUAAGCUUUGAUCCAGAGAUUUCCGAAUGGGGAAACCCAGCAUGAGUUAUGUCAUGUUAUCGAUAUGUGAAUACAUAGCAUAUCAGAAGGCACACCCGGAGAACUGAAACAUCUUAGUACCCGGAGGAAGAGAAAGAAAAUUCGAUUCCCUUAGUAGCGGCGAGCGAAACGGGAAGAGCCCAAACCAACAAGCUUGCUUGUUGGGGUUGUAGGACACUCUAUACGGAGUUACAAAGGACGACAUUAGACGAAUCAUCUGGAAAGAUGAAUCAAAGAAGGUAAUAAUCCUGUAGUCGAAAAUGUUGUCUCUCUUGAGUGGAUCCUGAGUACGACGGAGCACGUGAAAUUCCGUCGGAAUCUGGGAGGACCAUCUCCUAAGGCUAAAUACUCUCUAGUGACCGAUAGUGAACCAGUACCGUGAGGGAAAGGUGAAAAGCACCCCGGAAGGGGAGUGAAAUAGAACCUGAAACCGUGUGCUUACAAGUAGUCAGAGCCCGUUAAUGGGUGAUGGCGUGCCUUUUGUAGAAUGAACCGGCGAGUUACGAUUUGAUGCAAGGUUAAGCAGUAAAUGUGGAGCCGUAGCGAAAGCGAGUCUGAAUAGGGCGUUUAGUAUUUGGUCGUAGACCCGAAACCAGGUGAUCUACCCUUGGUCAGGUUGAAGUUCAGGUAACACUGAAUGGAGGACCGAACCGACUUACGUUGAAAAGUGAGCGGAUGAACUGAGGGUAGCGGAGAAAUUUCAAUCGAACCUGGAGAUAGCUGGUUCUCUCCGAAAUAGCUUUAGGGCUAGCCUCAAGUGAUGAUUAUUGGAGGUAGAGCACUGUUUGGACGAGGGGCCCCUCUCGGGUUACCGAAUUCAGACAAACUCCGAAUGCCAAUUAAUUUAACUUGGGAGUCAGAACAUGGGUGAUAAGGUCCGUGUUCGAAAGGGAAACAGCCCAGACCACCAGCUAAGGUCCCAAAAUAUAUGUUAAGUGGAAAAGGAUGUGGCGUUGCCCAGACAACUAGGAUGUUGGCUUAGAAGCAGCCAUCAUUUAAAGAGUGCGUAAUAGCUCACUAGUCGAGUGACACUGCGCCGAAAAUGUACCGGGGCUAAACAUAUUACCGAAGCUGUGGAUUGUCCUUUGGACAAUGGUAGGAGAGCGUUCUAAGGGCGUUGAAGCAUGAUCGUAAGGACAUGUGGAGCGCUUAGAAGUGAGAAUGCCGGUGUGAGUAGCGAAAGACGGGUGAGAAUCCCGUCCACCGAUUGACUAAGGUUUCCAGAGGAAGGCUCGUCCGCUCUGGGUUAGUCGGGUCCUAAGCUGAGGCCGACAGGCGUAGGCGAUGGAUAACAGGUUGAUAUUCCUGUACCACCUAUAAUCGUUUUAAUCGAUGGGGGGACGCAGUAGGAUAGGCGAAGCGUGCGAUUGGAUUGCACGUCUAAGCAGUAAGGCUGAGUAUUAGGCAAAUCCGGUACUCGUUAAGGCUGAGCUGUGAUGGGGAGAAGACAUUGUGUCUUCGAGUCGUUGAUUUCACACUGCCGAGAAAAGCCUCUAGAUAGAAAAUAGGUGCCCGUACCGCAAACCGACACAGGUAGUCAAGAUGAGAAUUCUAAGGUGAGCGAGCGAACUCUCGUUAAGGAACUCGGCAAAAUGACCCCGUAACUUCGGGAGAAGGGGUGCUCUUUAGGGUUAACGCCCAGAAGAGCCGCAGUGAAUAGGCCCAAGCGACUGUUUAUCAAAAACACAGGUCUCUGCUAAACCGUAAGGUGAUGUAUAGGGGCUGACGCCUGCCCGGUGCUGGAAGGUUAAGAGGAGUGGUUAGCUUCUGCGAAGCUACGAAUCGAAGCCCCAGUAAACGGCGGCCGUAACUAUAACGGUCCUAAGGUAGCGAAAUUCCUUGUCGGGUAAGUUCCGACCCGCACGAAAGGCGUAACGAUUUGGGCACUGUCUCAACGAGAGACUCGGUGAAAUCAUAGUACCUGUGAAGAUGCAGGUUACCCGCGACAGGACGGAAAGACCCCGUGGAGCUUUACUGUAGCCUGAUAUUGAAAUUCGGCACAGCUUGUACAGGAUAGGUAGGAGCCUUUGAAACGUGAGCGCUAGCUUACGUGGAGGCGCUGGUGGGAUACUACCCUAGCUGUGUUGGCUUUCUAACCCGCACCACUUAUCGUGGUGGGAGACAGUGUCAGGCGGGCAGUUUGACUGGGGCGGUCGCCUCCUAAAAGGUAACGGAGGCGCUCAAAGGUUCCCUCAGAAUGGUUGGAAAUCAUUCAUAGAGUGUAAAGGCAUAAGGGAGCUUGACUGCGAGACCUACAAGUCGAGCAGGGUCGAAAGACGGACUUAGUGAUCCGGUGGUUCCGCAUGGAAGGGCCAUCGCUCAACGGAUAAAAGCUACCCCGGGGAUAACAGGCUUAUCUCCCCCAAGAGUUCACAUCGACGGGGAGGUUUGGCACCUCGAUGUCGGCUCAUCGCAUCCUGGGGCUGUAGUCGGUCCCAAGGGUUGGGCUGUUCGCCCAUUAAAGCGGUACGCGAGCUGGGUUCAGAACGUCGUGAGACAGUUCGGUCCCUAUCCGUCGUGGGCGUAGGAAAUUUGAGAGGAGCUGUCCUUAGUACGAGAGGACCGGGAUGGACAUACCUCUGGUGUACCAGUUGUCGUGCCAACGGCAUAGCUGGGUAGCUAUGUGUGGACGGGAUAAGUGCUGAAAGCAUCUAAGCAUGAAGCCCCCCUCAAGAUGAGAUUUCCCAACUUCGGUUAUAAGAUCCCUCAAAGAUGAUGAGGUUAAUAGGUUCGAGGUGGAAGCAUGGUGACAUGUGGAGCUGACGAAUACUAAUCGAUCGAAGACUUAAUCAA